UACGUAGGGACCAAGCGUUGUCCGGAAUCAUUGGGCGUAAAGAGCGUGUAGGCGGCUUGUUAAGUCUUGCGUGAAAUCUCGGGGCUCAACCCCGAGCGGUCGUGAGAAACUGGCAGACUAGAGUGCGGUAGGGGAGAUUGGAAUUCCUGGUGUAGCGGUGGAAUGCGCAGAUAUCAGGAGGAACACCAAUGGCGAAGGCAGAUCUCUGGGCCGUAACUGACGCUGAGGAGCGAAAGCAUGGGGAGCGAACAGG
rnacentral:rRNA from 1 species